rnacentral:rRNA from 1 species
UAGGGAAUCUUCCACAAUGGACGCAAGUCUGAUGGAGCAACGCCGCGUGAGUGAAGAAGGUUUUCGGAUCGUAAAGCUCUGUUGUUGGUGAAGAAGGAUAGAGGUAGUAACUGGCCUUUAUUUGACGGUAAUCAACCAGAAAGUCACGGCUAACUACGUGCCAGCAGCCGCGGUAAUACGUAGGUGGCAAGCGUUGUCCGGAUUUAUUGGGCUUAAAGCGAGCGCAGGCGGAAGAAUAAGUCUGAUGUGAAAGCCCUCGGCUUAACCGAGGAACUGCAUCUGAAACUGUUUUGCUUGAGUGCAGAAGAGGAGAGUGGAAUUCCAUGUGUAGCGGUGGAAUGCGUAGAUAUAUGGAAGAACACCAGUGGCGAAGGCGACUCUCUGGUCUGCAACUAACGCUGAGGCUCGAAAGCAUGGGUAGCGAACAGG